rnacentral:rRNA from 1 species
GACGAACGCUGGCGGCGUGCUUAACACAUGCAAGUCGAACGGAAAGGCCCUGCUUUUGUGGGGUGCUCGAUUGGCGAACGGGUGAGUAACACGUGUGUAACCUGCCCUUGACUUUGGGAUAACUUCAGGAAACUGGGGCUAAUACCUGAUAUGAGCUCCUGCUGCAUGGUGGGGGUUGGAAAGUUUCGGCGGUUGGGGAUGGACUCGCGGCUUAUCAGCUUGUUGGUGGGGUAGUGGCUUACCAAGGCUUUGACGGGUAGCCGGCAUGAGAGGGUGACCGGCAACAUUGGGACUGAGAUACGGAGCAGAAUCGAACGGGAGGCAGCAGGGGGGAAUAUUGCAGAAUGGGCGGAAGCAGGAUGAAGAAAAGCAGCGGGCGGGAUGACGGGCUUCGGGUUGUAAACAGAUUUCGAAUGAGAAGAAGAGAGAGUGACGGUAAUGGGUAAAGAAGCACCGGCUAACUACGUG